GCCAGUGUGGUGUACUGGUUUGAGUGCUGGACUGCAACUCUGGAGACCUGAGUUCGAUUCCUAGCUUGGCCA